rnacentral:rRNA from 1 species
GACGAACGCUGGCGGCGUGCUUAACACAUGCAAGUCGAGCGGUAGGGCCCUUUCGGGGGUACGACGAGCGGCGAACGGGUGAGUAACACGUGGGUAAUCUACCUUCGAGUGGGGAACGAAACAACCGGGAAACUAGGUGCUAAUUCCGCAUAACAUCGUCGGGGCGUUCGGUUCUGACGCUCAAAGACUGGGGAGUCGCAAGACCUAGCGCUUGAAGAUGAGCCCG